GCCGCUUCUCUUUGGCCCCCACUUCACCUUAUGUCCACUUUUAAUCAUUUUGUUUCAAGUCCUCCUGGAAGAGCCAGCCAUGCACAGCUCUAUCCCGCGUCCGUGGAAAGUACGGCGCAGGUUGUGACAUAAAUUAUGCUCGCAGAAAUAAUAAGUUAAUUUCAGAGACUUUGGGACUUCUGCAAACUAUGGACGUUAACACUUACCUGCCAGGUGGGAUUAUGAUGAUAAAGGACAAUAAACGUAGCCUGGCACAGAGGUCCUUUCAGCUUUUCCUCUGAUGUGCAGUAGUGUUUGGAGGGGGGAAAUGUUUGAAAAUAAAUCAACACCGAGUGAACAACAUUAUGAACUGGAAUCGUUCCCGGCGUCUUGCUCCGCUUGCAAUCCUCCAGGAGCUCCAUGACAUAGUGUUGACAGGCGGGGCUCUUGCUUGCGGGAUGCUCCCCACACUUUGAACAGAGACCUUACAGCCAGGAUGCGUGGGUCCAAGAAUCACGUUGCCAUCCUGGCGCUUGGGGCCCUGCUGGCUUGGAGGUCUUAGGUUCCCAGGUGAGAACGGCUCCGUCAAGUGACAUUAUAAUGACUCCACGAAACUGGAGAAGGAGAUGUCCACUUCGUACGGCCACUGUGAGGUCCUGACACCCCUGGACCCACAGCUGAAAAGCAAGGAAGUCUAAUGGCUGCGUUAUUGCCUCUGAUGACUGAGAGGAUAUGGGGUUGCUACCAAAUAUUGGGGGCGCAGAGGACCAUGGGGCUGGGACCCAGGGCAUUUUCUGAGUGCCUCUAAGCCUCUAUGGAAGAACUAACCAACAGUAGAUUUUAAUGGAAAACUAGAGAAAGGCUCCCCCUCCUCCCUCAGAAAAAGCAGGAUGAUGAAGAACUCAGAUCCUUUGGGAAUGAAGGCUUGGGCUCCUCCACCAUGUCGAGAACCCAGAGCAGCCCAGGUGCCGGCUGAGGGCAAGGGAAACACGAAACAGUGGAAGAAAGAAGCCAUAAACACCGACAUGGCUUCAUGACAGUUACAAAACAAGGACUGUAGGCACUUGGCAUCCACUUUGCAUAUUUUCCAUUUGCUUAUAUGUACGUAUUUUUUCUUUUUUAAAAAAGAUUUUAUUUUAUUUUUUUAUUUGACAGAGAUAGAGACAGGCAGUGAGAGAGGGAACACAAGCAGGGGGAGUGGGAAAGG